AAAAAGCUCGUAGUUGGAUCUCGGCGGGCAGGGGGUGGUUCGCUCUUCAGCGCUACUGCCCCGCUUUGCCCGUGUGAUUGGCGGAGGUUUCGGGGUGCUCUUCGUUGAGUGACUCGGAGCGCCGUCAGGUUUACUUUGAAAAAAUUAGAGUGCUCAAAGCAGGCUUUUCACGCUUGAAUAUUCGUGCAUGGAAUAAUGGAAUAGGAACUCGUUUCUAUUUUGUUGGUUUUCGGAAAUCGAGUUAAUGAUUAACAGGGACAAUUGGGGGCAUUAGUAUUCAGACGACAGAGGUGAAAUUCUUGGACCGUCUGAAGACUGACUACUGCGAAAGCAUUUGCCAAGAGUGUUUUCAUUAAUCAAGAACGAAAGUUAGAGGUUCGAAGGCGAUCAGAUACCGCCCUAGUUCUAACCAUAAACGAUGCCAGCUAGCGAUCUGCCGAGUUUUUUUUGUAGGCUCCGCAGGAAGCUUUCGGGAAACCAAAGCUUUUGGGUUCCCGGGGGAAGUAUGGUUGCAAAGCUGAAAC
rnacentral:rRNA from 1 species